AUCAGUGGCGAACGGGUGAGUAACACGUGAGUAACCUGCCCCAGACUCUGGGAUAAGCCUUGGAAACGAGGUCUAAUACUGGAUAUGAGAUGCCCCUGCAUGGGGAGUGUCUGGAAAGAUUUAUCGGUCUGGGAUGGACUCGCGGCCUAUCAGCUUGUUGGUGGGGUAAUGGCCUACCAAGGCGACGACGGGUAGCCGGCCUGAGAGGGCGACCGGCCACACUGGGACUGAGACACGGCCCAGACUCCUACGGGAGGCAGCAGUGGGGAAUAUUGCACAAUGGGCGCAAGCCUGAUGCAGCGACGCCGCGUGAGGGAUGAAGGCCUUCGGGUUGUAAACCUCUUUCAGCAGGGAAGAAGCGCAAGUGACGGUACCUGCAGAAGAAGCGCCGGCUAACUACGUGCCAGCAGCCGCGGUAAUACGUAGGGCGCAAGCGUUGUCCGGAAUUAUUGGGCGUAAAGAGCUCGUAGGCGGUUUGUCGCGUCUGGUGUGAAAACUCAAGGCUCAACCUUGAGCUUGCAUCGGGUACGGGCAGACUAGAGUGCGGUAGGGGUGACUGGAAUUCCUGGUGUAGCGGUGGAAUGCGCAGAUAUCAGGAGGAACACCGAUGGCGAAGGCAGGUCACUGGGCCGCAACUGACG
rnacentral:rRNA from 1 species